ACAUGAUUCCAAAAUCUCCCUGGGCAACAAGAACUAGUUCUGGCUUGUUCUCUGUCUUCUCUGAGUGUGGAUUAAGUGAUACUGUUGUCAGGACAGAAGUCAUCUCAGAUAAUUGACCACAAGAGGAAACUCAAGAUGGACAAAGAGGACAAUCGGAAUAUUAAUGAAGAGUGGUAAUACUGGAAAUCAAGUCUUGAGGAGGGAACUGCCACUAACAUGGAAGGAAACUGGGCAUCUGAGUCACUGCUUGAAGGAGAGCUGCCCUAUCAGGAGCACCUACAUCAUACUGGAAUGUCCUUUCUACCCUUCCUGCUGAAAGUUUGUUGCUGAGCCGUGAAAGACACUGGGAUUCUUGGCCUCCAGAGGAGAGGAAUUCAAUCCGGAGCCAGUGGCAAGGCUUGAUCACUCAGAGCUUUUGUGUGAUAAAGUUUUGUUAAAGUAUGGAAGAGAUAGACAAAGCUUCUGACAUAGACACCAGAAGCGGGCAGGAAGAGUGCCCGCCUGCUAGCCUUUAGCAGUAUGUCAUAUACCUAUCAGCAAGCUGCUAAUUAGAGAAAGGAGCUGUCUCAAAACUCAGAGUGGCAGCAGGCCCCUCACCCACAACAUGCAUUUUGAGAUAACAUUGGCCCAAGGUGAGUCAUCCCCGGCCAUAAAACGAUUGACAUGAAUCUUGAAGAAAGGCAGGUUUUCAAGUAAGUAUAUAGUUUCAUUAAGAAGCAGAGUAGGAGAACAGUGUAUGAGUAACACAUACUGGUUUGUUGAGCCCUUAUCAGUCCUGAGUCUUAAGUGGAACCGACUUGAAGAAAGACGGAGUUUAGGGUAACUACAUAGUUUAUUAACAUAGCUUAAGAAAAUAUUUUCAUAAGAGAAACGUAUUGGUUAGCUCAAGGUUUGAGAAAAGUCAAGUUCAGGUGGAACCAGGUGUCAUCAUGGCAACCCAGAAUUUUAAAAGAAACCUUUUAAUUUUGUAUAGAGAAGGAAAAAAAUCUGACACUUGUAGUUUGUUUUCUCCUGCCACUUAAGGGAGAGAUAAACAGUGUCUGAUGCUUGCAGCCUAUUUCCUUCAUUUGGAGACCCCAGGCCUUCUUGCCUGAUACCCUCUCA